rnacentral:autocatalytically_spliced_intron from 1 species
AAAGUUCAAUACGGAGAAGAAGUGGCAAAUCACUCUGACCGCGAGUCAUGCGGGGCACAUCGCGAGGUGUGCGUCGAAGCGUUGACAGGGGAAACCGGCAGGCCGGCCAUAGAGCCGCGAAAUGAUCAAUUCGGGAUGCCGACGCUGUUAAUCGUCU